UCCCUGGUGGUCUAGUGGCUAAGGAUCUAGUGGUCUCACUGCUAUGGCCUGGGUUCAAAUCCUGGGCAAGGAA